rnacentral:misc_RNA from 1 species
GAUGAAGAACGCAGCGAAAUGCGAUAAGUAGUGUGAAUUGCAGAAUUCAGUGAAUCAUCGAAUCUUUGAACGCACAUUGCGCCCCUUGGUAUUCCAUGGGGCAUGCCUGUUCGAGCGUCAUUUGUACCUUCAAGCUCUGCUUGGUGUUGGGUGUUUGUCUCGCCUCUGCGUGUAGACUCGCCUCAAAACAAUUGGCAGCCGGCGUAUUGAUUUCGGAGCGCAGUACAUCUCGCGCUUUGCACUCAUAACGACGACGUCCAAAAGUACAUUUUUACACUCUUGACCUCGGAUCAGGUAGUGAUACCCGCUGAACUUAAGCAUAUCAAUAAGCGGAGGA